CUAGUUUGUUUUGAUUUGACUGCAGUUUGUUGGUAAUGUAAUUGAAAAAGGUUGUGUACGCAAUAUUUUCCUUUUAAACGUUUGUUGAACAUUUAUUCUGAUUAAUAGAUAUGCUGUUUGCCGUAGUCGAAACGAGUCGUUGGUGACAUAGAAAACUCUCAGUGGUGUCCGAGAAAUGGAUUCGGACCUCCAGAACCGGCAACAUCAUGCUGUGGCCGAACGUAAAAAACACCCAAUAUUUUGACAAAAUGCUAAGGGAUAAAAACAUCACAAGCAAACAAGUGUCUAACGGAAAUUCACAGCUUACAUCCGGUUUAUUUUGUCUGUUAAUCCGAAUUCAUAAUUGAUUUCCUGUAAGAUAACAAAAGAAAGUGUUUAGGUAGAGAAAGCCUUUAAACACCCUAAUAUUACCUAUUGGAAUUAUAGCUUUGUUUUCCUUUUGCCGUUUAUUUAGAAAAAAAAAUCCGAUGAUGAUAGAAUAAA